GUUUCUGGCAAAUGGAACCCCCGGUCCUUACCUUGAAAAUAUCUUCCCCUCCCACACCAACAGCGGCGGGCGAGGCGCGGGGUCAGGCGGCGGCCGGCGCGGGUGUGCAGCGGCAUUGCGGGCCGCGUGCCUCGCCGGCGCGCAUACCCGCCGUCCCGCUUGCUGCUGGCCGCGACCCUGCCCUCAUGCCACCGUCGACCCGCCGGAUCUGGGCGAGGCGGCCAUACUGGCGUCGUUGCUCCCUACCCGUGGCCGGUCUGGCAAGGCGGCGCGCGCGGCCGGCUCGGCUUCGCCGCUCCUCGCCCACAGCCGGUCUGGCUGCGCCGUCGCCUGCCUAUGGCCUGCCCUACGCCCCGGCUCUUCGCCCACGGCCGGCCAGGCGGCGGCCGUCGCUCCCCGCUUGCGGCCAGACUGGCGCCGUUGAUUCUCGCCCGCGCAGGUGGUGUUGCUGGUGCCGCUGCUCCUCGCCUGCGGCCAACUCAGUGCUGCAGCUCCUAAAGAGCAGGAUGCGCACAAUCUCCCCGUCGGUAUCCUACCAGCCUUAUUCAUUUCCUCACCCCAUCCUCUCUCGCUCUCUCGCCACUUCUCGCGCUGAUACUUCCUCUUUCCGCCGCAACCUGGUUUGCGUCACCUUGACCGCCGUUGUUGCCAUGCCGGCUUUGCCCUAAGGCAUCACCAUCGCUGCUGGGUGUUCUUGUGCUGUUGCUGUUGGGGGCUUUCACUCCACGUUUCCUGUUCCGGCUUCGCUGCUGCAGCCUGCUUCAGCGAAGCUGUGCUCGCUUCCUGCGCUGUGCUGCUCCUAUGUGAGGAUAUUUUGUCUUUCCCGUGCCCAUAGCUAGGUGUAUAGCUUUGCUAUUAUUACAUUCUAAGAUGUACUUAUGUGCUGCUACUACAUGUUGUGCAUUGGUCUCAGCCUAAUUUCAUCUUACCUGUUUUGUUUGCCGUUGUGCCUAAUUUUUUUAUACUUUUGCUUUUUGUUUACCCUUUUAAGCAUUAGCAUCCAAGAAUUCAUUUCCCUGCUUGUAGAUCUAACUUCAGUAUAUAUGAAUACCUGGAUGUACAUCCAAUUUCAUUGCUGUGCAUUUAUGUAUAUCGCUUCUCUGUUAGCAUUCCAACCUCUAUUAUGGUUCCUCAUAUAAUUCGUGUGUUUAUAGAUCUAAUGAAAGUGUUGCAGAUUCAUGUACUAAUUGAUUCGCCUUUCAUCGGCAAGUUCAUUUUUGCUAUAUAUUUCCAUGUUCAAACUUUAUUGGUUUGCUUUUUAUAAUGCAGGUUCUGCCAUGUGAAAGAAAAUUUGAUUUGCCUACAGCUUUACUGUGGUACUGUAGAUCUGGAGUAUUAUCUUGCUCUGUGCUAAGAGAAAAUCUUGGGUUAGAUUGGUUGGUUUGUCAAGAGCGUAAUGAAAUUGCUAAACUUCUAUAAAGUAAUUGUUGUCUUGUAAGGAACUGCUAUUGUCUCAUGAUCAUUGAUCUGGUAAGCUACUGUUGUUGUGCUAUCACAUUCCUCCUUUCCUAUGUGAUGUUGGUUUUAUGAUGCAGUAUUUCCUUUGUUCCAACAUAUAUACACAUAUAUAGUAAUAUGCAAACAUAAGACAACAAGGUAUAUAUAUAUGUUCAUAUGCCCAUACAUGUAUUUGUGUGUGGCUAUACAAACAUUAAGGUAUAUAUGUUUUAUUUUUUCCUCAACCCUUUUAAUAGGCACAGUUUGAAAAUUAAGGAUGGCUAUUGGGCUGGCAUUGUUCUCUAAAUCCCUAGGAUAUUUUCUCUUAAAACAAAAUGGUCUCUUUCCUCAUCUAUGAUUAGUAUUUUGAUAUAUUUGUUAUUUUCUCCUUCUCUUCCUAUUCAAAUUGAUCUCUUAUCCACUUGCAUACCUUUUUUUUAAUAUGUUACUGCAUUACAUGUUAGUACUUUGUGAUUCUUCGAAAUUAAUAUGAUGGGAUCCUUUUUCUAAAUCUGCUUCGAUCAAAUUGCAUGCUCCCUAAUCUCAUAUUGUUCCACUCAGAGUUUGUAUAUUGCUAAUCCUUUUUCCUCUUUACUUUCCUUUAAUCUUUUCCCAUUUCUUCUUCUUUACUACCUAACAAUGUUUGAACACAUACAGAAAGGUCAAGCCGCUGCCUGCCGCCAGCCAUAACAUUGCAUCUAUCGCCGUCCUAUCUCCGCCUACCAUCUCCUGCGCAUGGCAAAGACCUCUACCUACUUCUUAUAGACUCAACCACUGCCUUCA